rnacentral:rRNA from 1 species
UGGGGAAUAUUGGACAAUGGGCGCAAGCCUGAUCCAGCCAUGCCGCGUGAGUGAUGAAGGCCUUAGGGUUGUAAAGCUCUUUCGCCGGUGAAGAUAAUGACGGUAACCGGAGAAGAAGCCCCGGCUAACUUCGUGCCAGCAGCCGCGGUAAUACGAAGGGGGCUAGCGUUGCUCGGAAUCACUGGGCGUAAAGCGCGACGUAGGCGGAUCGUUAAGUCAGGGGUGAAAUCCUGGAGCUCAACUCCAGAACUGCCCUUGAUACUGGCGAUCUCGAGUUCGAGAGAGGUUGGUGGAAACUCCGAGUGUAGAGGUGAAAUUCGUAGAUAUUCGGAAGAACACCAGUGGCGAAGGCGGCCAACUGGCUCGAUACUGACGCUGAGGUGCGAAAGCGUGGGGAGCAAAACAGGAUUAGAUACCCUGGUAGUCCACGCCGUAAAACGAUGGAUGCUAGCCGUUGGGGGGUUUACCUCUCAGUGGCGCAGCUAACGCCUUAAGCAUCCCGCCUGGGGAGUACGGUCGCAAGAUUAAAAACUUAAAGGAAUUGACGGGGUCAUAGCUGUUUUCCU